GUCUAUAAACGGGGACCGUUUAUAAAACGGGGACCAAUCCCGCACCAAGCAGCAUGCCACUGAAGGCAUUAUGUUCAGAAUAUUUCAUACGUGAGCCUCACAACAACCCUGGGAGAUGGGCACCAAUAUUAUCACGAGGUUUCACACGAGGAAGAGCCCGUGCUCUG